rnacentral:misc_RNA from 1 species
UCUCCGUUGGUGAACCAGCGGAGGGAUCAUUAUAGAGUUAACAAAACAACUCCCAACCCUUUGUGAACCUUACCUACCGUUGCUUCGGCGGACCGCCCCGGGCGCUGCGUGCCCCGGACCCAAGGCGCCCGCCGGGGACCACACGAACCCUGUUUAACAAACAUGUGUAUCCUCUGAGCGAGCCGAAAGGCAACAAAACAAAUCAAAACUUUCAACAACGGAUCUCUUGGUUCUGGCAUCGAUGAAGAACGCAGC